rnacentral:snoRNA from 1 species
ACCUGCAUUCGAAAGGGAUCGCGGCCUGCCGGUGGCCGCGGUCACCGAUAGUGCAGGGAGAGGAGCGCGAGAGCCUUCCCGUGUCCGGGGGGGCGUCCCCUCCCUCCCUGACCCUGGUGCUGUCGGACA